rfam:Anaerofustis stercorihominis DSM 17244 Scfld_02_4 genomic scaffold, whole genome shotgun sequence.
CUACACUAGGUGGGGAGUUAGCGGUGCCCUGUACUUGCAAUCCGCUGCAGCAAGACUGAAUUCCCACUUUGAGGCUGGUAAAAUUAAGGUUUGCACCCAUACUUGGAUGUUGAGAGUUGGGCUUCGUGCAAUCAUACCUUACAAACUCCACCAGGUGCGAGAGCAAGCAGUGGUAAGUAAGUGCUAUGAUGUGCCCCGAAACUACCUGGCUUGAGUUCACUUAUGGGAAAGCAUUUGAUUUUAUCAUGUCGAUGGUGGGUGUGUAG